GCGGGAGUGGCGAAAUAGGUAAACGCACCAGAUUUAGGUUCUGGCACUUUAAGUUCUACGAGUUCGAGUCUCGUCUCCCGCACCA
rnacentral:tRNA from 1 species